rnacentral:rRNA from 1 species
GACAGAGGGUGCAAACGUUGUUCGGAAUUACUGGGCGUAAAGCGCGUGUAGGCGGCCCUGCAAGUCGGAUGUGAAAUCCCACGGCUCAACCGUGGAAGUGCAUUCGAAACUGCAGGGCUAGAGUCCUGGAGAGGAAGGUGGAAUGCUUGGUGUAGAGGUGAAAUUCGUAGAUAUCAAGCGGAACACCGGUGGCGAAGGCGGCCUUCUGGACAGUGACUGACGCUGAGACGCGAAAGCGUGGGUAGCAAACGGG